AACGAACGCUGGCGGCAGGCUUAACACAUGCAAGUCGAGCGCCCCGCCCGGGGAGCGGCAGACUGGUGGGUAACGCGUGGGAACGUACCCUUAUCUUCGGCAUACCUCCGGGAAACUGGAAUUAAUACCGAAUUUGCCCUUUUAGGGAAAGAUUUCUCGGAUAAGGAUCGGGCCGCGUUGGAUUAGCUAGUUGGUGGGGUAAAGGCAUACCAAGGCGACGAUCCAUAGCUGGUCUGAGAGGAUGAUCAGCCACAUUGGGAAUGAGACACGGCCCAAACUCGUACGGGAGGGAGCAGUGGGGAAUAUUGGACAAGGGGAGCAAGUCUGAUAAAGCCAUGCCGGGGGAGUGAGGAAGGCCUUAGGGUUGUAAAGCUCUUUCACCGGAGAAGAUAAUGACGGUAUCGGGAGAAGAAGCCCCGGCUAACUUCGUG
rnacentral:rRNA from 1 species